rnacentral:rRNA from 1 species
UACGGAGGGAGCUAGCGUUAUUCGGAAUUACUGGGCGUAAAGCGCACGUAGGCGGCUUUGUAAGUAAGAGGUGAAAGCCCAGAGCUCAACUCUGGAAUUGCCUUUUAGACUGCAUCGCUUGAAUCAUGGAGAGGUCAGUGGAAUUCCGAGUGUAGAGGUGAAAUUCGUAGAUAUUCGGAAGAACACCAGUGGCGAAGGCGGCUGACUGGACAUGUAUUGACGCUGAGGUGCGAAAGCGUGGGGAGCAAACAGGAUGAGAUACCGU